rnacentral:rRNA from 1 species
CCUACGGGUGGCAGCAGUGAGGAAUAUUGGUCAAUGGGCGAGAGCCUGAACCAGCCAAGUCGCGUGAAGGAUGAAGGAUCUAUGGUUUGUAAACUUCUUUUAUAUGGGAAUAAAAUGUUCCACGUGUGGGAUUUUGUAUGUACCAUAUGAAUAAGGAUCGGCUAACUCCGUGCCAGCAGCCGCGGUAAUACGGAGGAUCCGAGCGUUAUCCGGAUUUAUUGGGUUUAAAGGGAGCGUAGGUGGAUUGUUAAGUCAGUUGUGAAAGUUUGCGGCUCAACCGUAAAAUUGCAGUUGAAACUGGCAGUCUUGAGUACAGUAGAGGUGGGCGGAAUUCGUGGUGUAGCGGUGAAAUGCUUAGAUAUCACGAAGAACUCCGAUUGCGAAGGCAGCUCACUGGACUGCAACUGACACUGAGGCUCGAAAGUGUGGGUAUCAAACAGGAUUAGAUACCCCAGUAGUC